GACGAACGCUGGCGGCGUGCUUAACACAUGCAAGUCGAACGGAGAGGCCCUGCUUUUGUGGGGUGCUCGAGUGGCGAACGGGUGAGUAACACGUGAGUAACCUGCCCUUGACUUUGGGAUAACUUCAGGAAACUGGGGCUAAUACCGGAUAGGAGCUCCUGCUGCAUGGUGGGGGUUGGAAAGUUUCGGCGGUUGGGGAUGGACUCGCGGCUUAUCCGCUUGUUGGUGGGGUAGUGGCUUACCAAGGCUUUGACGGGUAGCCGGCCUGAGAGGGUGACCGGCCACAUUGGGACUGAGAUACGGCCCAGACUCCUACGGGAGGCAGCAGUGGGGAAUAUUGCACAAUGGGCGGAAGCCUGAUGCAGCAACGCCGCGUGCGGGAUGACGGCCUUCGGGUUGUAAACCGCUUUCGCCUGUGACGAAGCGUGAGUGACGGUAAUGGGUAAAGAAGCACCGGCUAACUACGUG
rnacentral:rRNA from 1 species